rnacentral:rRNA from 1 species
UACGUAGGGUGCGAGCGUUAAUCGGAAUUACUGGGCGUAAAGGGUGCGCAGGUGGCCGCGCAAGUCGAGUGUGAAAUCCCCGAGCUUAACUUGGGAAUUGCGCUCGAAACUACGUGGCUCGAGUGUGGCAGAGGAAGGUGGAAUUCCACGUGUAGCGGUAAAAUGCGUAGAGAUGUGGAGGAACACCGAUGGCGAAGGCAGCCUUCUGGGCCAACACUGACGCUCAUGCACGAAAGCGUGGGGAGCAAACAGG